GGGGAUAUGGCUCAGUGGUAGAAUGCUUGCCUGACAUGCAUGAGACCCUGGGUUCCAUCCCUAGUAACACAU
rnacentral:tRNA from 1 species